rnacentral:rRNA from 1 species
AAUCUAACUGGACUCAGCGUGAUCCUGCCUGCCGCGUGCUGGAUGAAGGCCUUCGGGUUGUUAACUGCUUUUGUACGGCACGAAAAAUCUCCUUCUAAUACAGGGGGCCCAUGGCGGUACCGGUGGAAUAAGCCCCGGCUAUAUACGUGCCAGCAGCCGCGGUAAUA